AGCACACACAACAUCAUUGCAAAUGACAGUUUCUGAAGAUGGAAAAUCUGUGAGGGUGAAUUUUGGGACAAUGAUUCUACAGCAGAGAGGAAGUCACAGCCACGUCUGCGCUGCUCACCACCAUCAUGAAACGCUCUCAGACAGGAGGAAGUCACAUCAAAGCCGUGGCACCGAGGCUCCAUCCAGACUUAUCCUGGAUCAGCUCAGCUGAGUAUCUAAGACGGAUUCCCCGGUUCACAUCCAGCAGGACGGUCCAAAUCUUAUUUUUGCUUGUUUUGUGUUUAUUUUCUCUCACUUUAUUAUCAAUGAUGCUAGAGGGCAGCACAGGUUCACGGUAUCUCGGUGAUGUUUUGCUGUGUUUGGUCCAUGUCUUAAUAAGUGUUAUCCUAAGUGUCUGCAUUUUUACUAUAUCUCACACAUUCACAGUUCAGUGGCUGUGUCUUGCUGGAGAACACUUAGAUAUGUGACUGGAACAACUCAAUCACCAGAAUAAAUGCUGCUAAAUACGUU